GAGGCCGCGGGGCCAUGGCCGGGAGCAGGAGGAAUGUGUUCUUGACAAAAUUACUGAAACGACUUUAUGGUGAAUCUUCAUCAUCUUCUCUUGUUCAUGCUUCAAGUAGAGAAGAGGAGGUGGUUCUUGAAAAUCUUGGAACAAAAUCGAAAGAAAAGAAUUUUGAUAAUGUUCAGAUUUCAUCAACAGAUUCUAGCACAUCAACUAAUACACCCUGCAAAUCAUCUCAAGGUAAUGAUGAUGCUGUUAAGUCUCCAAAAAGAAUUUAUACAGUGGAUCUUCCUCCAGAGGGUUAUGUUGCAGUUACUCCAGAUGCUCUUAGUAAUGCAGUUUCUGAAAACUCCAGCAGUAGUGCUGACUCAACAGAAGAGGAAUAUCAAGGGCAAACCAAGAGAAAGCGCAUUCGAAGGAAGAAACAAAAGAGCAGUUUACAAAUCUCUAGUAAUUUACAUGGAGAACAAACAGAUUUGGGAAUGCAAGCGACUGUUCAAGAUAAUUUACAGCUGCAGCAAACAGACAGUCCCAAAAUAAGCAAAAACAAAAAGAGGAAAAUGAAAAAGAAGCGACAGAAAGAAAAAAAGAGAGCAGCUGGCUUUGUAACAAAAACUACCAGCGUGGAUUUUACGUAUCAGCCUGACAAAAACAACAAAGAAGAAGAAGCAGACUUAAAAGACAUAGGUGAAAAGGCAGAGAGCAUUCUGGACUUCCUGCAGGCAACACAACAAAUUUAUUUUGCUGACAAGAAAUCAGAAUGCAGAGAUGCUGCUGUAAAUUCAGCAACUGCCCAAGAGCUCUUACAGUGUCUUGAAUUUCGCACCAUCUCUUCCUCAGAUGUGACUCAUCUGCAUCGGCUGAAAUCCCUUGUAUUGCUACAGGAUAUUGAGAGAUUGAAGGAUGCUUUGAAACAAUUCCAAGAACAAUCUAUGAUGUCUGCUGAUCUUGUCAAGGUAGCCGCAUCUCUGUUUCACUACUGGAUUACAGAUAUCCUUCCUGUGAAGAACAGGAAAUAAAGCCUUACCUCUGUGUCCAUAUGCGCAGGAUUAAAAUUUAAUAUACAAACUCUUAACAAGUAGCAGUUGUUCCAGAAGAGCAGUGUCAAUACACAUUCUACACCUUCAGAAUUAUAGGGGCUGAAAUUCUAAGAAGACUCAGAAAUCAUGGUUAUUCCUCUCCGGAGAAUGACACCUGGGUAUAUAAGAUUGCUGCAGACUCAAGCUGCAGCAAAGAUCGUUAUCAACCCGUCAGACACAGCACUGCAGCGGGCGGCAUUGCUCCUGGGAGUGUUCGGGAUCAGCUUAUCCAGCUACAGCACGCACCAGCUAACUCAAACAAAAAGAUUCCCCUUGACCACUUAAGCUGCGUUAGGAUGUGACCCAGGAAGUCCAAGCUUAUGCCAAUACUGCUGAUGAGUGGCUUUUCUGCCGCUGUUAACGGUGUGGAGGUAAUGAGACACUUUGCCGUGAUUUCUACAUGCAAAGUUAAAUACACACAAGAACUGCAGACUUCUUCAAGAAAGAAAAGAAACAACUGCUAUCAGAAGCAUGGCAUUUCCAAAUAAGACAAACUUUCUGUGAAUAUUAUAGACUUCUUUUGUUAUUCAGUGUAUACCUAGAGAUCUAAAGGUAAAAAAUACAGUUACAUUCAGAGUAGCUGUAAACAGACCAGUGUGGGUGCUGGGCUCUGGGAGUGUCACUGUGUUGAGCUUUUGCUUUUGCAAAUUACUCCAAUGCAAAGACUGUUUUUGCAAAGAAGAAGUUAGAAGCAAUAUAUUCCUCAUGACAAGGGUUAGAACAAAUGAAAUGAAUCAUCCACAAAGACUCUUUGCACUGUACAUUUGGGUAUUACAGAAUUUGUGCACUCUAGUUUUUUCUAUUGAAUCUUAAACACUUCUUGAUGCCUUUUGAGUAGCAAUGUUUGUGUAUUGCAGCACAAGCUGGUAGCCUUCUGUCACAGCAGAGAUGGCCAUGGGCUACACCAGCAAUAAGGUGCUGGGAAGGGCCCAUGGCUCCAGACCACAGAAGUUCACAGCUGUGCGGAAGCUCUCUGUUUUAGAAAGUACCAGUAAAAAUACUGGGUUGGGUUCCAUUGCAGAGUUCAGUAUCUGGUUGUAUUCUUCUACAAAGUCAACUCAUCUCAUAAUUUACAUUCUGAUUAAAAUAGAAAUAGAGUUUGACAUUUUCUCCUUACUUCUCCCUUGUUUUCUUCUCAUUUGGUACAAUAACUUAUUCAGGAAAGUUCUCUUACUAUUGGUUUGCACUUUUCCAGCUGUUUCUUAUGUUUUAUGUAAACAUGGCUUUGUAGGCUCUUCUGUCCAUAUGUUAGCAUUUAAAAUCCUUUGUUCUUGGUUACUAAAUACAAAUAUUAUUUUGGGAUCAUUUUCAGUGUUUAAAAUUAUUUCAUCUGUCAACAGUGUUUAAAUUCAUCCACUAAGGGGCAUCC